UACAGAGGUCUCAAGCGUUGUUCGGAAUUACUGGGCGUAAAGGGUGCGCAGGCCGCGCGGGCAGUCAAAUGUGUAAUCCAGGGGCUCAACCCCCUGAACUGCGCUUGAUACUUCCGCGCUCGAGCUUUGGAGAGGAGUCUGGAAUUCUCGGUGUAGCAGUGAAAUGCGUGGAUAUCGAGAAGAACACUUACGGGCGUAGGCAAGACUCUGGACAAAUGACUGACGCUCAUGCACGAAGGCUAGGGUAGCGAACGGG
rnacentral:rRNA from 1 species